UUUUCAAAUUUUUAAAAAAUGUCAUUUUGUAAUAGUUAUUCUAAAAAAAUUAAUCUAACACACAGUAUACAUAUCCAAUAACCUAAAUUCGACAAAUAACAUAAAUCAUUAUUUUUUUUAUGAUUUUAUAUGAACAUUAUUACAUAUUGUAACCUGGACUUUAAUAAUUUAUUGGGCAUAAACUAUAUGAUUAUUUAUAGUUUUAAGAUAUUUUUUUUUUAAAUGGAGAUUUGUUCGUAGGUUCACACCAAUACUUUCAUCCAUGAUACAGUCAUUCUCAUUGGUUUUUCUUCAUGUUUAUAAAGUUCACAAACAACCCUUGUAUGCCAUACAUUUUGACGCUCUUACAAUCAUCCCAUCCGUAAUCAUUUCACCCAAUUUCCAGGGCCACACUCUGAAUGAUUAACGUUUAAUGCCCCCAUGUAUAAUUAACAAUGUAUUUAGGCAAUUUAUCAAUGACAAUUCUAAUUCCUUGGUCUUCACGGAUGGAUCAGUUACACAAUCAGGUGGAGCUUUCGCCUAUUUUUUCCCCGAAUUGCAUACACAAUUAUUCUCCAGCUUGCUUGUUUUCAUCUCUUCAUUCACGGCUGAAUGUGGGGUGAUUCUAGAAGUUCUAACCUGCAUGAUUUCUCUUCCCCCCGACUAUUUUGUUAUUGUCUCUGAUUCCCAAGCCAGCAUUAUAGCUAAUGCCAAAAAUCUGUUCUUUUCCAAGUGCUUCCCCAUAAUCUUAAAAGUCCGCUCAUUACUACUAUCACUCAGAACCAGGUCUUUCAAUAUUUCCUUUUUAUGGGUCCCAAGGAAUUUAGGCACAUAUGGCAACGAGCACACUGACUCGUUACCCGGCGCCACUGCUAAUCAGUCAAACUCGGGUCCUCACUGGUGCCCCUAUAUAUCCACCCCUAAGUAUUUAAAAUUACGGACUCUUUCAAAUGAUAGGCCUUUUUUUAUAAUUAUGUAUUG